AUUGAACGCUGGCGGCAGGCCUAACACAUGCAAGUCGAGCGGAUGAAGGGAGCUUGCUCCUGGAUUCAGCGGCGGACGGGUGAGUAAUGCCUAGGAAUCUGCCUGGUAGUGGGGGAUAACGUCCGGAAACGGGCGCUAAUACCGCAUACGUCCUGAGGGAGCAAGUGGGGGAUCUUCGGACCUCACGCUAUCAGAUGAGCCUAGGUCGGAUUAGCUAGUUGGUGGGGUAAAGGCCUACCAAGGCGACGAUCCGUAACUGGUCUGAGAGGAUGAUCAGUCACACUGGAGCUGAGACACGGUCCAGACUCCUACGGGAGGCAGCAGUGGGGAAUAUUGGACAAUGGGCGAAAGCCUGAUCCAGCCAUGCCGCGUGUGUGAAGAAGGUCUUCGGAUUGUAAAGCACUUUAAGUUGGGAGGAAGGGCAGUAAGUUAAUACCUAGCUGUUUUGACGUUACCAACAGAAUAAGCACCGGCUAACUUCGUG
rnacentral:rRNA from 1 species